rnacentral:rRNA from 1 species
CCUACGGGUGGCUGCAGUAGGGAAUCUUGCACAAUGGGCGAAAGCCUGAUGGAGCAACGCCGCGUGCAGGAUGAAGGCCUUCGGGUUGUAAACUGCUUUUAUAAGCGAGAAAUAUGAUGGUAACUUAUGAAUAAGGAUCGGCUAACUACGUGCCAGCAGCCGCGGUCAUACGUAGGAUCCGAGCAUUAUCCGGAGUGACUGGGUGUAAAGAGUUGCGUAGGUGGCAUAAUAAGUAGCUAGUGAAAUCGGGUGGCUCAACCAUACAGACUAUUAGCGAAACUGUUAAGCUCGAGACCGUUAGAGGUAACUGGAAUUUCUAGUGUAGGAGUGAAAUCCGUAGAUAUUAGGAGGAACACCAAUAGCGUAGGCAGGUUACUGGGACGGUUCUGACGCUGAGGCACGAAAGCGUAGGGAGCAAACAGGAUUAGAUACCCUAGUAGUC